UCCCUGAUGGCUCAGUGGUAAAGAAACUGCCUGCAAUGCAGGAGACACAGGUUCAGUCCCUGGUCGGGAAG
rnacentral:tRNA from 1 species